AUGGCCAGGGUGCAGGCAGCCCAUCUGCAGGAAGGCACUGCAGGCUCUGAUCUACCCCAUGCCAGAGACCUACAGCGAGUUGGAGAAAUAGCCCAGCACAGGGUCCAGCCUGGGGCAACUAACACCAGCCACAGCCACUUUGAUGCUGAGGGAGGGGAAUGGAGUAGGGUGGAGCAGGGCAGAAAGGCCUGCUGUCUGGCCCACCCCUGCCAGGCGCGUGCACUAGCAACUGUGAAUUAUGCCCGGCAGAAUUCCUAUCUGCCUUUGAUAUUUGCCUGGAACAGGAGCAGGGUACUUAAGACAAUUUCUUAUAUACAUCCCACUGUCAGCUCCAUGCGGGCCGUCUGUGAGCAGGCUCUCGGAAUCAGGGAGCACCCGAGCUUCCUGUGCUUACCCCAGUCUGUGCAGGUGUCCACGCCUGAGGUAACCACGCCGUCCAAGGGCCAGUUGCAGUCGGUGCAGGUCUUCGGACGCAGGAAAACGGCCACAGCGCGGCGCGCUGCAAACGCGGCAACGGCCUCCCCAAGGUGAACGCGCGGCCCCUGGAGACGAUUGAGCCGCGCACGCUGCAGUACGAGCUUCUGGAACCUGUUCUGCUUCUGGGCUAGGAGCGGUUCGCUGGUGUGGACAUCCGUGUCCGUGUGAAGGGUGGUGGUCAUGUGGCCCAGAUUUAUGCUAUCCGUCAGUCCAUCUCCAAAGCCCUGGUGGCCUAUUACCAAAAAUAUGUGGGUGAGGCUUCCAAGAAGGAGAUCAAAGACAUCCUCAUCCAGUAUGAUCAGCCCCUGCUGGUAGCCGAUCCCAACCCAGUCGCUGCGAAUCCAAAAAGUUUGGAGGCCCUGGUGCAGUGCCGGUGCUCGCCACCAGAAAUCUUACUGAAAAGCCCAUCACGAGGAUUUGGGUUUAUCUGUAUAAUAAAAAGUGGUAG